GAUGAACGCUGGCGGCGUGCUUAACACAUGCAAGUCGAACGAAGCUGCUUAACAGAUUUCCUUCGGGAUUGAUGUUUUGUAGACUGAGUGGCGGACGGGUGAGUAACGCGUGGGUAACCUGCCCUGUACAGGGGGAUAACAAUCAGAAAUGACUGCUAAUACCGCAUAAGACCACAGCACCGCAUGGUGCAGGGGUAAAAACUCCGGUGGUACAGGAUGGACCCGCGUCUGAUUAGCUGGUUGGUGAGGUAACGGCUCACCAAGGCGACGAUCAGUAGCCGGCUUGAGAGAGUGAACGGCCACAUUGGGACUGAGACACGGCCCAAACUCCUACGGGAGGCAGCAGUGGGGAAUAUUGCACAAUGGGGGGAACCCUGAUGCAGCGACGCCGCGUGAGUGAAGAAGUAUUUCGGUAUGUAAAGCUCUAUCAGCAGGGAAGAAAAUGACGGUACCUGACUAAGAAGCCCCGGC
rnacentral:rRNA from 1 species